UGCGUCGUAAGGCCCAGCCUUGUGUUGAGAUUUCCUGGCAAGGAACUUUCGAAACUGAUGGGCGUCUCGUCGUGCCUGAACCGCAACACAAUGCGAGCAGGGCCGGCGGCCGCCGAAAACCGUCAU
rnacentral:misc_RNA from 1 species